UCAUAGAAACACAGAAUGGUUUGAUUUGAAAGGGACUUUGAAGAUCACCUAAUUCCACCUCCCCUGCCAUGAACAGGGACAACUUCCACUAGAUCAGAGCCCCCAUUCAACCUGGCCUUGAACAC